rnacentral:rRNA from 1 species
UACAGAGGUCUCAAGCGUUUGUUCGGAUUCAUUGGGCGUAAAGGGUGCGUAGGCGGCGCGGUAAGUCGGGUGUGAAAUCUCGGGGCUUAACUCCGAGACUGCAUUCGAUACUGCCGUGCUUGAGGACUGGAGAGGAGACUGGAAUUUACGGUGUAGCGGUGAAAUGCGUAGAUAUCGUAAGGAAGACCAGUGGCGAAGGCGGGUCUCUGGACAGUUCCUGACGCUGAGGCACGAAGGCCAGGGGAGCAAACGGG